rnacentral:rRNA from 1 species
CCUACGGGAGGCAGCAGUGAGGAAUAUUGGUCAAUGGCCGCAAGGCUGAACCAGCCAAGUAGCGUGAAGGAAGAAGGAUCUAUGGUUUGUAAACUUCUUUUAUAGGGGAAUAAAGGUAUCCACGUGUGGAUAUUUGCAUGUACCCUAUGAAUAAGCAUCGGCUAACUCCGUGCCAGCAGCCGCGGUAAUACGGAGGAUGCGAGCGUUAUCCGGAUUUAUUGGGUUUAAAGGGUGCGUAGGUUGUUUUUUAAGUCAGCGGUGAAAGUUUGUGGCUCAACCAUAAAAUUGCCAUUGAAACUGGAAGACUUGAGUGUGUUUGAGGUAGGCGGAAUGCGUGGUGUAGCGGUGAAAUGCAUAGAUAUCACGCAGAACUCCGAUUGCGAAGGCAGCUUACUAAGCCAUAACUGACACUGAAGCACGAAAGCGUGGGGAGCAAACAGGAUUAGAUACCCCAGUAGUC